GAUUGGCGAUCCGUUGGAUAGCGACCGAGUUAUAGGCAAAACUUGGUGCAAAAAUGAGGCAAAUUUUACGUUUUCUCAAACAGGGUAAGGAACUUGGUUCCCCGAAUAACUUCUGGCACGGACAUCUGAGGGCUUGGCUGUCCAAGAAGAAAAUGUAGCCAUAGAUGUCAUCUAUCGACCACAUGUUAAAGAUUGGCGAUCCGUUGGAUACCGACCGAGUUAUAGGCAAAACUUGAUGCAAAAAUGAGCCUUAGUUUUAUUUUUUUUUAAUUUUUUGAUUUUUAUUAUUAUUUUUCACUCUUUUUUUUAUUUAAAGCAUUACUUGAGUGAAAAGAAACACAUUGCAAUCAAUUGGCAUUAAAAUAAAUCAAUUUCAUUUUUUUUGCAAAAUUUCCCAAAAAAAACGUAAGGGGUAAGCCUUAUGAAAUUUUGGAGUUGAAAAUUUUUUUGAAAUUUUUUUCUGAUUUUUUAUUAUUUUUUUAAUUUAAAGCAUUAUUUGAGUGAAAAGAAACACAUUGCAACAAAUUUGCAUGAAAAUAUAUCACAUUUAUAAAUUUUGCUAAAUUGCUCAAAAAUGAGGAAAAUUUUACAUUUUCUCAAACAGGGUAAGGAACUUGGUUCCUCGAAUAACUUCCGGCACAGACAUCUGAGAGCAUGGCCGUCUAAGAAGAAAAUGUAGCCAUUGGUGCCAUCUAUCGACCACAGGUUAAAGAUUGGCGAUCCGUUGGAUAGCGACCGAGUUAUAGGCAAAACUUGGUGCAAAAAUGAGGCAAAUUUUACGUUUUCUCAAACAGGGUAAGGAACUUGGUUCCCCGAAUAACUUCUGGCACGGACAUCUGAGGGCUUGGCUGUCCAAGAAGAAAAUGUAGCCAUAGAUGUCAUCUAUCGACCACAGGUUAAAGAUUGGCGAUCCGUUGGAUAGCGACCGAGUUAUAGGCAAAACUUGAUGCAAAAAUGAGCCUUAGUUUUAUUUUUUUUAAUUUUUUGAUUUUUUUUAUUAUUUUUCACUCUUUUUUUUUAUUUAAAGCAUUACUUGAGUGAAAAGAAACACAUUGCAAUCAAUUGGCAUUAAAAUAAAUCAAUUUCAUUUUUUUUUGCAAAAUUUCCCAAAAAAAACGUAAGGGGUAAGCCUUAUGAAAUUUUGGAGUUGAAAAUUUUUUUCUGAUUUUUUAUUAUUUUUUUAAUUUAAAGCAUUAUUUGAGUGAAAAGAAACACAUUGCAACAAAUUUGCAUGAAAAUAUAUCACAUUUAUAAAUUUUGCUAAAUUGCUCAAAAAUGAGGAAAAUUUUACAUUUUCUCAAACAGGGUAAGGAACUUGGUUCCUCGAAUAACUUCUGGCACAGACAUCUGAGGGCAUGGCCGUCUAAGAAGAAAAUGUAGCCAUUGGUGCCAUCUAUCGACCACAGGUUAAAGAUUGGCGAUCCGUUGGAUACCGACCGAGUUAUAGGCAAAACUUGAUGCAAAAAUGAGCCUUAGUUUUAUUUUUUUUUUAUUUUUUGAUUUUUAUUAUUAUUUUUCACUCUUUUUUUUAUUUAAAGCAUUACUUGAGUGAAAAGAAACACAUUGCAAUCAAUUGGCAUUAAAAUAAAUCAAUUUCAUUUUUUUUGCAAAAUUUCCCCAAAAAAAACGUAAGGGGUAAGCCUUAUGAAAUUUUGGAGUUGAAAAUUUUUUUGAAUUUUUUUUCUGAUUUUUUAUUAUUUUUUUAAUUUAAAGCAUUAUUUGAGUGAAAAGAAACACAUUGCAACAAAUUUGCAUGAAAAUAUAUCACAUUUAUAAAUUUUGCUAAAUUGCUCAAAAAUGAGGAAAAUUUUACAUUUUCUCAAACAGGGUAAGGAACUUGGUUCCUCGAAUAACUUCUGGCACAGACAUCUGAGGGCAUGGCCGUCUAAGAAGAAAAUGUAGCCAUUGGUGCCAUCUAUCGACCACAGGUUAAAGAUUGGCGAUCCGUUGGAUACCGACCGAGUUAUAGGCAAAACUUGAUGCAAAAAUGAGCCUUAGUUUUGUUUUUUUUUAGUUUUUUGAUUUUUAUUAUUAUUUUUCACUCUUUUU